GUUAAUAGAUGGGGCGUUAUUUAAUUUAGUAAAUAAUAAAUUAAAUAAAAAAUUUGAAAUUUAUGUGGAACUAAUAAAUUUGGUAUAUGUUAUUAUUAUUACUAUUAUUAUUAUUAUUAUUUUCUGUUGGCUAAUCUAAGUCGAUAACUUGUGUAGAAGGGUUUUUUUUUUUAAAGAGAAAUAUAAUAUACUACCCAUUUCGUUUAUUUUUUAAAAAUAAAUUUAACCAAAAAUAUGAAUUAAUUAGAAUUCUAGCUUGAAACUUCGAUACCAAUCAUCAAACCAUUUUCUACUUGUGCUAGGACAAAUGGUGAAACUUGUUUACAAGGUUACUUGGUCUAAAAUCCAAUCAUUUUUUUUUUUUUUGAGAGAGAUAGGUAACACGCUACCCGUUUCGUUUAUUUUAUUUAGAAAUAAACUUAGCUAGAAAUAUGAAUCAACUAGGAUUCGAAUUUGGAUCUCGGGUACCAACCAACUGCUCUAGAAACGGU
rnacentral:lncRNA from 1 species